rnacentral:rRNA from 1 species
CAGCCGCCGCGGUAAAACGGAGGGUGCAAGCGUUAAUCGGAAUUACUGGGCGUAAAGCGCACGCAGGCGGUCUGACAAGUCAGAUGUGAAAUCCCCGGGCUUAACCUGGGAACUGCAUUUGAAACUGUCAGGCUGGAGUCUUGUAGAGGGGGGUGGAAUUCCAGGUGUAGCGGUGAAAUGCGUAGAGAUCUGGAGGAAUACCGGUGGCGAAGGCGGCCCCCUGGACAAAGACUGACGCUCAGGUGCGAAAGCGUGGGGAGCAAACAGGAUUAGAUACCCCGGUAGUCCCUGUCUCUUAUAA